CUGCAAGGGCUCUGGGCUUGUGGGAGGACUAUAUGCUCCAAGCCUGAUGAUUGGGGCUGCUGUUGGAGCUGUUUUUGGGGGUUCAGCUGCUUAUUUAAUAAAUUCAGCUUUACCUGGUAAUGCUGCUGUUGCACAGCCACAAGCUUAUGCUCUGGUUGGAAUGGCUGCUACACUAGCUUCAGUCUGUUCAGUCCCAUUGACUUCAGUACUGCUUCUCUUUGAGCUGACAAAGGAUUACAUGAUUUUGCUUCCUCUCAUGUGAACAAGGGAGAAUAUUGUGAACUGAAGGUCAUGUAUCAGCGAAAAGCAGGCUUUCCUCUUGUAGCAAUUGUGCACUGAAAAACUACAGUGCCCUUAUGACACCACAACAGUAAGCAAGACUAUAGGACAUCUAUGCGAAAUGCAGCUAGCCAGCUACACUGAUGUAGAGAUCAUUCAAGCAGUUUAACCUUUAUACUGUAUCAUUUUAAUUUAACCAGCUAUUUCACUACUGCCUUUUAUAGUGUUUAGGUUAUAACCAAUGACCUCUGUUAGAUUUUAUAAUUUAAACUCAUUGAUUGAAAAACAUUUAGUUGUGAUGUCACUAAAAGGUGAAAUAAAUUUCUUAUAGUGUGCAUUAUUAUCCCUUUUUUCAUUUCUAAGUAAAAUUCUUAACAACUUCUGUAUAAUAAUGAUUGGAUUUAUGACUGUUGUUUGCACUAACAUCUGGUCUAAUUUCAUUAUUCUUGAACUUCUUUUGUGCCCAUGCUUCAUUACACAUGUAAGUCGCUCGAAUGCAACUGUCCGACCUAGCAUCCAAUCGACCUCAACCACUCUUCAUCCCACGUGUGUGUGGAGCUGAUGAACUUGUCGAUGUGUACUGAUUUUUUCUCAUAUGUUUCUAGCCAUGCUUUAAUUGAUUCUUUGUCAAAUUGUGCAACUUGUGCAAACCAUAUGAUUACUUGGUAUUAUUGCUUUGAUAUGGACAUCCAGAAAAAUAUUCAACUUCGAAUAUCUUUGGCUUUAGUGACUAGUGACUGAUGUACUUUAGCGUAUCCACUAAAAACCAUGAAAGUCUAAGUAUGUGUCAUUUGGCAUUAGGUUUUGUGAUGUAACACUUGACUCAACAUCCUCUAAUAUGUAUAUCUGUUUUGACAUUAUAUUUUUGCACAUGACUAACCUUUGGGCAUCUCUGUUUUCAUAUUACCAAUACACCAAUGAUGUUAGGCAAAUUCCUCCAGCUCGAGUACUUGGAGAUUACAUAGUCUUCUCCAUUGUUUCUCUAGACUUUGAGGUUCUAAGCAUGAGC